UACGGAGGGGCUAGCGUUGUUCGGAAUUACUGGGCGUAAAGCGCGCGUAGGCGGACCUGCAAGUCGGGGGUGAAAGCCCGAGGCUCAACUCCAGAACUGCCUUUGAUACUGGCGAUCUCGAGUUCGGGAGAGGUGAGUGGAACUGCGAGUGUAGAGGUGAAAUUCGUAGAUAUUCGGAAGAACACCAGUGGCGAAGGCGGACUCACUGGCCCGGUACUGACGCUG
rnacentral:rRNA from 1 species